GGCAACCCGCUCGCGUCCCCUUCCAGACUGUGGAAGCUUUGUUUUUUCGCUUUUUGCAGUAAAUCUUGCUACUGCUCGCUCUUUGGGUCCAGGCUGCUCUUAUGAGCUGUAACACUCACGGCGAAGAUCUGCAGCUUCACACCUGAGCCCAGCGAGACUACGAGCCCACCCGGAGGAACGAGGAGCUCCAGACGCGCUGCCUUAAGAGCUGUAACACUCACCGCGAAGGUCUGCAGCUUCACUCCUGAGCCAGCGAGACCACGAACCCACCAGAAGGAAGAAACUCCGAACACAUUUGAACAUCAGAAGGGAUAAACUCCAGACGUGCCACCUUAGGAGCUGUAAACCUCACCGUGAGGGUGCGCGGCCUCAUUCUUGAAAUUGAGUUGACUUCAAGAAUCGGUCUUCGAGCUUCUUUCCUCAGCUUGGUUGAUUCUGCUGUUAAUACUUGAACCCAGCCAGCAUGCUUGUGAGAAGCAUGCCUGAGUCCUAGAGAGUCAAUAGUCUCUGAUGAAUGCCACCCAACAGUCAAUAUCAACUGAAAGCCAUCUGCGUGAGCCAUCUCAGUCCAGUCAAGCUAUCAACAUGACUGCAGCAGCACUGGAGACUGCAAGAAAGAAUUGCCCAGCUUAGGCCAGUCAACACACAGGAUUACAAAAGGUAAUUAUAAAUUAUUGUUUCAAGUCACUGAGUUUUUGGAUAACAACAAAUAAAAUGAGCAAUGUAAGUUGGAUAACCUUUAUCCAAAACACUUGGGACCAGAAUUGUUUCAGAUUUCGGAUUUGUUUUUUUGGAUUUUAGAAUAUUUGCACAGACAUAAUAAGAUAUCUUGGGGAUGAAACCAAAGUCUAAAAACAAAAUUUGCUUAUGUUUCAUAUAUACUUUACACACAUAAGCUGAGAUAAUUUUAUACAAUACUUUGAAUAAUUUUGUACAUGAAGCAAAGUUUGUACUAAGUACUUAUGUAUGGAAUUUUCUACUUUUAACUUCAUGUUGGUACUCAAAAAGUUUCAGAUUUUGGAGCAUUUCGGAUUUCAGAUUAUUGUAUUAUGCAUGCUCAAUAUGUACAUGCAAUAUGCCUUAAAACACGCAGAAGUAUACCUACAACUUAAAAUAAUAAGGAAUUCAAAAUGUCAAAUCUGUACAUCUGGAGACAUUUAAUAAACAUAUGUCAACAUUUUAAAA